rnacentral:rRNA from 1 species
GACGAACGCUGGCGGCGUGCUUAACACAUGCAAGUUGAACGGAAAGGCCCUGCUUUUGUGGGGUGCUCGAGUGGCGAACGGGUGAGUAACACGUGAGUAACCUGCCCUUGACUUUGGGAUAACUUCAGGAAACUGGGGCUAAUACCGGAUAGGAGCUCCUGCUGCAUGGUGGGGGUUGGAAAGUUUCGGCGGUUGGGGAUGGACUCGCGGCUUAUCAGCUUGUUGGUGGGGUAGUGGCUUACCAAGGCUUUGACGGGUAGCCGGCCUGAGAGGGUGACCGGCCACAUUGGGACUGCGAUACGGACCAGACUCCUACGGGAGGCAGCAGUGGGGAAUAUUGCACAAUGGGCGGAAGCCUGAUGCAGCAACGCCGCGUGCGGGAUGACGGCCUUCGGGUUGUAAACCGCUUUCGCCUGUGACGAAGCGUGAGUGACGGUAAUGGGUAAAGAAGCACCGGCUAACUACGUG